ACAGCCAUAUUACCUUGAACACAGCCAAAUUUGCAUGAUCAUGGAAGCUUAGCAGGGUUGGUCCUGCUUAGUACUUGGAUAGGAGAUUGUGUGGGAAUAAGAAAAGAUCUUUU
rnacentral:rRNA from 1 species